rnacentral:rRNA from 1 species
ACCACCACCGGCGAACCAGUCCCGCGGAAACGCCGCUCGCGGCGCGCGGCCCCCCGGGGACGCGCGUCCGGACGAGCUCCGAAAAAAACCCUCCGGGCGCGGCGAGCGCCAAGGAAUCGAAGCGGAAAGGGCGGCCGCCCCGCCUGGCGCGGGGAUCCCGCCGCCCGUCUGUGAAAUCUUUUAGACGACUCUCGGCAACGGAUAUCUCGGCUCUCGCAUCGAUGAAGAACGUAGCGAAAUGCGAUACUUGGUGUGAAUUGCAGAAUCCCGUGAACCAUCGAGUCUUUGAACGCAAGUUGCGCCUGAGGCCACUCGGCCGAGGGCACGCCUGCCUGGGCGUCACGCCACCCAUCGCGCCCCCCUCGGCAUUCCCAUGCCCCGCCGGGGAGCGGAGACUGGCCGUCCGUGCCCGAGCCCUCGGCGCGCGGUCGGCAGAAAAAGGAGGACACCGUGCGGCGCGACACGGCGUGUGGGGGUUGAGAGGCGACUCGUCGCCGAUCGUACGUCGCGCCCGCAUUCCGCCGCGCGGUGCCGCCCCGUGGGACCAGACUCGCCCGCAUCCGCGGGCGCUCGGACCGCGACCCCAGG